GUUUACCCGUCGCCGGACGGGCACAGCGUCAAAAUCAUACCUUAGGUCUUAGUGGUAUGGUUUUGGCGCUGUUUUUAUU
rnacentral:ncRNA from 1 species